rnacentral:pre_miRNA from 1 species
AGCUUUUCGAAUCCAUGCUGAGAUUUUGUCAGACACCGACCCAUUAGGGCUGAGCAGAAUUCCAAGGUAAGCGAAGUU